rnacentral:rRNA from 1 species
AGAGUUUGAUUCUGGCUCAGAACGAACGCUGGCGGCAGGCUUAACACAUGCAAGUUGAGCGGGAUUCAUUGUAGCUUGCUAUGAAUGAUGAGAGCAGCGCACUGGUGAGUAACACGUGGGAACAUGCCUUUUGUGGGGGACAACAGUUGGAAACGACUGCUAAUACCGCAUACGCCCUGAGGGGGAAAGAUUAAUUGCCGAAAGAUUGGCCCGCGGAAGAUUAGGUAGUAGGUGGGGUAACGGCCUACCUAGCCGACGAUCUAUAGCUGGUCUGAGAGGACGAUCAGCCACAUUGGAACUGAGACACGGUCCAGACUCCUACGGGAGGCAGCAGUGAGGAAUAUUGGGCAAUGGAGGGAACUCUGACCCAGCCAAUGCCGCGUGAGUGAAGAAGGUUUUCGGAUUGUAAAGCUCUUUCAGAUGGGAAGAUGAUGACGGUACCAUCAGAAGAAGCACCGGCUAACUUCGUGCCAGCCGCUGC